AAACCAUGAUGGGGACACUUGCGUAGGAUAUCCUUGAAUCUCUCAUGUGCUUCAAAAAGUGUCUCGGAGUCCCCUUGGUGGAAUGCUAAAACCUCUUGUCUCAAUCU